GACGCCAGCGGUGGAGCAUGCUGUUUAAUUCGACAAUACGCGAAGAACCUUACCUAGGUUUGACAUCCCCGGCAAAGCUAUAGAAAUAUAGUGGAGGUUAUCCGGGUGACAGAUGGUGCAUGGUUGUCGUCAGCUCGUGUCGUGAGAUGUUUGGUUAAGUCCAACAACGAGCGCAACCCUCGUCUUAAGUUGCUAACAUUAAGUUGAGAACUCUUAAGAUACUGCCAGUGCAAGCUGGAGGAAGGUGGGGAUGACGUCAAAUCAUCAUGCCUCUUACAUCUAGGGCUACAGGCGUGCUACAAUGGCCGAUACAACGAGUUGCAACACAGCGAUGUGAAGCUAAUCUCUUAAAGUCGGUCCCAGUUCGGAUUGGAGUCUGCAACUCGACUCCAUGAAGUUGGAAUCGCUAGUAAUCCCGAAUCAGAAUGUCGGGGUGAAUACGUUCCCGGGUGUUGUACACACCGCCCGU
rnacentral:rRNA from 1 species